AAAUGUAAGCUGCUAACUGAAAAAAGGAAGCUUUUGUUAUUUUAGGUGAUUUUACACUAUCAAACUGUAAGUGAGCCUGCCACUAUUAGACGAUUGCUGAGUAUCCUUCACAAGAGUACUGGUGAAGUCACAAAGAAGAAACCUAAGGUCCUGACUAAAGGACAGAAUGCUUUAAUAGAACUACAGACACACAGGCCUGUUGCCCUUGAAUUGUACAAAGAUUUUAAAGAACUUGGAAGGUUUAUGUUACGCUACAGCGGAUCCACUAUAGCUGCAGGUGUUGUCACAGAGAUUAAAGAAUGACAGUGGUGCUAAGACUUCAGUGACCCAACCAAAAUGCAAUCAGCCAUUCACACCUCUUUCAGAAUCCAGUUACUUCAGCUGAAGGAACUAAGUGCAAUUAAAUGAAAAAAAAAGGAAAAAAAGAAAAUUUAAAUUCAUAUUGGACAUUUAGUGAACUUUUUAUCUGUCUCUGCCUAAUGCAAAACAAAAUGCCAACUGACAUGGAAAUGCUAAUGUUGCACAUUCUCAUUUCAAAAGCUCCCAUAUUUCUCUGUGUGAAAUUUACCCCACACCUGCAGCUCACAGAGCUUUAUGGAAACUUGAUUGGAAAGAUGCAUUAGAAGAUAAGAUGGCGAAUCAUCAAGAAACAAUCUUGCUACUUCCAACCAUUGACUGUUUACAUUUUUUCUUUGAUUUGCUCAUUGCUGCACAUUAAUCCAAUAAAGUAACUUAAUUGGUCUAAUAUAUUUUAAGGUUUGAGAUGAAUGCAUUUUCAGGGGAAAAAUGUUUACUUCCGUUUCAGAGAAAGGUAUGUUGUGUCAUCUACAAGAUUUUUUCCCCCAUCCUAAAAUUUAUUUAAAAAAAGAAAAUUUAACCGCAUGUGUAGUGGAAGCUGUGCCAACAAUGGCUAAUUUUAUUUUUGAAGUGUAAAAAUAUAAUAAAGUAGCCUGGUCUGAG